CCUACGGGUGGCAGCAGUGAGGAAUAUUGGUCAAUGGCCGGAAGGCUGAACCAGCCAAGCCGCGUGAAGGACGAAGGUGCCAAGCAUUGUAAACUUCUUUUGUCAAGGGACAAAAUCAGGCUCGAGAGCCUGACCGAGGGUACUUGAAGAAAAAGCAUCGGCUAACUCCGUGCCAGCAGCCGCGGUAAUACGGAGGAUGCGAGCGUUAUCCGGAUUUAUUGGGUUGAAAGGGUGCGUAGGCGGACUGUUAAGUCAGAGGUAAAAGCCUGGGGCUCAACCCCGCCGAGCCGUUGAAACUGGCGGUCUUGAGAUGUCGAGAGGUAUGCGGAAUGCGCGGUGUAGCGGUGAAAUGCUUAGAUAUUGCGCAGAACUCCGAUUGCGAAGGCAGCAUACCGGCGGCGAUCUGACGCUGAGGCACGAAAGCGUGGGUAUCGAACAGGAUUAGAUACCCGAGUAGUC
rnacentral:rRNA from 1 species